GGGGAUGUAGCUCAAUGGUAGAGCCUUUGCCUAGCAUGCACAGGACCCUGGUUUCCAUCUCCA
rnacentral:tRNA from 1 species